rnacentral:rRNA from 1 species
GAUGAACGCUGGCGGCGUGUCUAAGGCAUGCAAGUCGAACGCAUUAAGUUGCGUGGCAGACGGGAGCGUAACACAUUGGUAAUCUACCCCUACGUGGAGGAUAACCCUAAGAAAUUGGGGAUAAUACUCCAUGCUAUCUAGUUUCAUAUGAAAUUAGAUGAAAGAUUUAUUGCGUAGGGAGGAGCCUAUGGCCUAUCAGCUUGUUGGUGAGGUAAAAGCUCACCAAGGCUAUGACAGGUACCGGGUGUGAGAGCAUGACCCGGCUCAAUGGGACUGAGACACUGCCCAU